rnacentral:tRNA from 1 species
GCAUUAAUGGGGUAGUGGUAACCUCGAUCGUUGCCAUCGAUCGGCCCCCGGUUCAAUUCCGGGUUAAUGCA